rnacentral:rRNA from 1 species
GCAGUCGAGCGAGUGUGAUCUCAGUGAGCUUGCUCUUAUGAAGUUAGCGGCGGACGGGUGAGUAACACGUGGGUAACCUGCCCAUAAGACUGGGAUAACUCCGGGAAACCGGGGCUAAUACCGGAUAACAUUUUGAACCGCAUGGUUCGAAAUUGAAAGGCGGCUUCGGCUGUCACUUAUGGAUGGACCCGCGUCGCAUUAGCUAGUUGGUGAGGUAACGGCUCACCAAGGCAACGAUGCGUAGCCGACCUGAGAGGGUGAUCGGCCACACUGGGACUGAGACACGGCCCAGACUCCUACGGGAGGCAGCAGUAGGGAAUCUUCCGCAAUGGACGAAAGUCUGACGGAGCAACGCCGCGUGAGUGAUGAAGGCUUUCGGGUCGUAAAACUCUGUUGUUAGGGAAGAACAAGUGCUAGUUGAAUAAGCUGGCACCUUGACGGUACCUAACCAGAAAGCCACGGCUAACUACGUGCCAGCAGCCGCGGUAAUACGUAGGUGGCAAGCGUUAUCCGGAAUUAUUGGGCGUAAAGCGCGCGCAGGUGGUUUCUUAAGUCUGAUGUGAAAGCCCACGGCUCAACCGUGGAGGGUCAUUGGAAACUGGGAGACUUGAGUGCAGAAGAGGAAAGUGGAAUUCCAUGUGUAGCGGUGAAAUGCGUAGAGAUAUGGACGAACACCAGUGGCGAACGCGACUCUCUCGGCUGUAUCUGACACUGAGGCGCGACAA